AUGAACGCUACUAGUAUGCUUUACACAUGCGAGUCGAACGAAAAAUUUAUUUUUAAGUGGCGGACGGGUGAGGAAAGUGUAAAAUACUACCUUUUAGUUCAUGAUUAAAUAAAAAUAAUGAAUAAUUUCAAAAGGAAAAUUUAUUUCCGCUAAAAGAUGUCUUUGCAUAAGAUUAGGUUGUUGGUAGUUAUAAUAGCCUCACCAAGCCUACGAUCUUUAGUUGGUUUUAGAGAACGGCCAACCACACUGGAACUGAAACAAAGUCCAGGCCCAUAAGUGGCCAGCAGUGGGGAAUAUUGGACAAUGAACGAAAGUUUGAUCCAGCGAUACUAGAUGAAUGAAUGACGGUUAAUUGUGAUUGUAAAGUUCUUAUUAAAAAGAUAAUGACUUGUUAAUGAAUAAGUCCUGGCUAAUACUCGUGCCAGCCGCCG
rnacentral:rRNA from 1 species